AUGAUUAUAGUUCGAUUGAUGUGAAUGAAUGCUUCUAUGGUAGACGGAAGCUAAGUCAAAAGGAAAUACAUGAGAUAUAUGGCACUCGACAUAUUGGUCGUGAUCAAGCUCGAUCACUUGUUGGUUUGAUGGAUUUCUUCUGCUUUAGUGAGGGAGAAAAAUCUGGAAAGUCGUUAUGUUUUACAGUAAGUCAGGACAGUAAGGAGACCUCAUAAUAAAUUUUUGGUGUUGGUUCCUAUUUUUUUUUUGUUAACGAGGG